UGGCGGACGGGUGAGUAAUGUCUGGGAAACUGCCUGAUGGAGGGGGAGUAACUACUGGAAACGGUAGCUAAUACCGCAUAACGUCGCAAGACCAAAGAGGGGGACCUUCGGGCCUCUUGCCAUCGGACGUGCCCAGAUGGGAUUAGCUAGUAGGUGGGGUAACGGCUCACCUAGGCAACGAUCCCUAGCUGGUCUGAGAGGAUGACCAGCCACACUGGAACUGAGACACGGUCCAGACUCCUACGGGAGGCAGCAUG
rnacentral:rRNA from 1 species